CGUGACGACCAUGCUGCGAGUAUGAGUCAAGGGUAAACUCGGCAGAGGUCGUGAAAGUGGGACAGGCCCUUAACUCUAAAUGCGCAUGGAAGUGGUUAUACGUGGGACAGCAUUUGUAACGUGAACCAUGAAUGGCCAAGGCUCCUGCAGUGGCUAGCAGGAGCCAAUAGAAAGUUUUGAGUGUGUCUGGUGGAGUUCUGAACUGGGGGGUAGUUGGAGGAGGAAGGUGUGUGUCAGUGUAUCGAUGACAAGAAGCUGUUCGCAAAAGGAGCUCAGCCAUUCACUUGGUUUAAGUGCUAAAUAUCCUUGCUCAGUGGGCAACAGAAGUGGCUACUUUAGCCAGGUGUGUGAACUGAACCAAUGUACUCUUAAUUUAUCUUUACUGUAAAAAGAACUAACGGGUUAUAAUAAGACUGUAAAUACUGCAUAAUUAAACUAAUCUGGCUUCUCCAACA